GAGUGACACUGCGCCGAAAAUGUACCGGGGCUAAACAUAUUACCGAAGCUGUGGAUUGUCCUUUGGACAAUGGUAGGAGAGCGUUCUAAGGGCGUUGAAGCAUGAUCGUAAGGACAUGUGGAGCGCUUAGAAGUGAGAAUGCCGGUGUGAGUAGCGAAAGACGGGUGAGAAUCCCGUCCACCGAUUGACUAAGGUUUCCAGAGGAAGGCUCGUCCGCUCUGGGUUAGUCGGGUCCUAAGCUGAGGCCGACAGGCGUAGGCGAUGGAUAACAGGUUGAUAUUCCUGUACCACCUAUAAUCGUUUUAAUCGAUGGGGGGACGCAGUAGGAUAGGCGAAGCGUGCGAUUGGAUUGCACGUCUAAGCAGUAAGGCUGAGUAUUAGGCAAAUCCGGUACUCGUUAAGGCUGAGCUGUGAUGGGGAGAAGACAUUGUGUCUUCGAGUCGUUGAUUUCACACUGCCGAGAAAAGCCU
rnacentral:rRNA from 1 species